CCUUGCAUUCGUAAGUGAUCAUGGGCUGCCGGUGUCCUGGUCAUUGGUAGUGCAGGCAGAGGAAAUGGGAAAGGGUUGCCCCGUGUUAGGAGGGUCCAUGUAUUUGCCUUUCAGUUCUGAGCGCUUUCUCAUA
ensembl:snoRNA SNORA71 Small nucleolar RNA SNORA71